rnacentral:rRNA from 1 species
GAAAAGCAGGGGAUCGCAAGACCUUGCGCUUUUGGAGCGGCCGAUGUCUGAUUAGCUAGUUGGUGAGGUAAAGGCUUACCAAGGCGUCGAUCAGUAGCUGGUCUGAGAGGACGACCAGCCACACUGGGACUGAGACACGGCCCAGACUCCUACGGGAGGCAGCAGUGGGGAAUUUUGGACAAUGGGGGAAACCCUGAUCCAGCCAUGCCGCGUGAGUGAAGAAGGCCUUCGGGUUGUAAAGCUCUUUCAGCCGGAACGAAACGGUCACAGCUAAUACCUGUGACUACUGACGGUACCGGAAGAAGAAGCACCGGCUAACUACGUGCCAGCAGCCGCGGUAAUACGUAGGGUGCGAGCGUUAAUCGGAAUUACUGGGCGUAAAGCGUGCGCAGGCGGUUUUGUAAGUCAGAUGUGAAAUCCCCGGGCUUAACCUGGGAACUGCGUUUGAAACUACAAGGCU